rnacentral:rRNA from 1 species
GACGAACGCUGGCGGCGUGCCUAACACAUGCAAGUCGAGCGGAGAUGAUGUGAGGAAGUUUUCGGAUGGAACCACAUUAUUUUAGCGGCGGACGGUUGAGUAACGCGUGAGCGACCAACCUUGCACAGGGGGAUAACGGACCGAAAGGUUCACUAAUACAGCAUGAGACCACGGUGUUGCAUGACACAGGGGGCAAAGGAGGAAUCCGGUGCAAGACGGGCUCGCGUCCGAUUAGGUAGUUGGAGGGGUACCGGCCCACCAAGCCUAUGAUCGGUAGCCGACCUGAGAGGGUGAUCGGCCACAUUGGAACUGAGAUACGGUCCAAACUCCUACGGGAGGCAGCAGUGGGGAAUAUUGGGCAAUGGGGGAAACCCUGACCCAGCAACGCCGCGUGAAGGAAGAAGGUUUUCGGAUUGUAAACUUCUGUCCUUGGUGAAGAGAAGAAGACGGUAGCCAAGGAGGAAGCCCCGGCUAACUACGUGCCAGCAGCCGCCGUAA